CCCAGCUGUAGGUAACUGCCUAGGUUGCUUUGUACCUAGGCAAAUGUUACAUUGCUGGAAGAAAAGCAGCCGUUAGUUGGCAGGCAUCCUGGGCCUGGUUAAUGCCAGAUUUGUGCUGAUGAUGCAGUGUGCCAGCAAACUUGCCCCCCGCCUUUUUUUUCCAAGAAUAUGUGGGAAGGGUGGGGAGUACCAGGCUGGGACAUGCAAG
ensembl:snoRNA SNORA74 Small nucleolar RNA SNORA74